rnacentral:rRNA from 1 species
AACGAACGCUGGCGGCAUGCCUAACACAUGCAAGUCGAACGAGACCUUCGGGUCUAGUGGCGCACGGGUGCGUAACGCGUGGGAACCUGCCCUUAGGUUCGGAAUAACUCCCCGAAAGGGGUGCUAAUACCGGAUAAUGUCUUCGGACCAAAGAUUUAUCGCCUUUGGAUGGGCCCGCGUUGGAUUAGCUAGUUGGUAGGGUAAAAGCCUACCAAGGCGACGAUCCAUAGCUGGUCUGAGAGGAUGAUCAGCCACACUGGGACUGAGACACGGCCCAGACUCCUACGGGAGGCAGCAGUGGGGAAUAUUGGACAAUGGGCGAAAGCCUGAUCCAGCAAUGCCGCGUGAGUGAUGAAGGCCUUAGGGUUGUAAAGCUCUUUUACCCGGGAUGAUAAAGACAGUACCGGGAGAAUAAGCGCCGGCUAACUCCGUG